GAUGAACGCUGGCGGCGUGCCUAAUACAUGCAAGUCGAGCGAACUGAUUAGGAGCUUGCUUCUAUGACGUUAGCGGCGGACGGGUGAGUAACACGUGGGCAACCUGCCUGCAAGACUGGGAUAACUUCGGGAAACCGAAGCUAAUACCGGAUAGGAUCUUCUCCUUCAUGGGAGAUGAUUGAAAGAUGGUUUCGGCUAUCACUUACAGAUGGGCCCGCGGUGCAUUAGCUAGUUGGUGAGGUAACGGCUCACCAAGGCAACGAUGCAUAGCCGACCGGAGAGGGUGGUCGGCCAAACUGGGACUGAGACACGGCCCAGACUCCUACGGGAGGCAGCAGUAGGGAAUCUUCCGCAAUGGACGAAAGUCUGACGGAGCAACGCCGCGUGAGUGAUGAAGGCUUUCGGGUCGUAAAACUCUGUUGUUAGGGAAGAACAAGUACGAGAGUAACUGCUCGUACCUUGACGGUACCUAACCAGAAAGCCACGGCUAACUACGUGCCAGCCGCCGCUGUAAAAC
rnacentral:rRNA from 1 species